AUGGACGACGCCUUCAAAUUCAUCAUUAAGAACGGCGGCCUCACCACCGAGUCCAACUACCCAUACACGGCACGGGAUGGGCAGUGCAAGACCAGCAUUGCAAGCAACAGUGUGGCAACCAUCAAGGGCUACGAAGAUGUCCCCGCCAACGAUGAAUCUUCUCUUAUGAAAGCAAUCGCUAACCAACCUGUAUCAGUAGCUGUGGACGGAGGGGAUGUCAUAUUUCAACAUUACUCUGGCGGGGUGAUGACCGGCUCCUGCGGAACUGAUUUGGACCAUGGGAUAGCGGCGAUUGGGUAUGGCAUGACGAGUGAUGGAACUAAGUAUUGGCAACUGAAGAACUCAUGGGGCACCACAUGGGGUGAGAAUGGUUACCUCAGAAUGGAGAAGGAUAUUUCAAACAAGAGUGGUAUGUGUGGCUUGGCCAUGCAACCUUCCUACCCCACCGAGUAG
rnacentral:rRNA from 1 species